AGAAGACAAAAGAAAAGUCUUGUGUUUUUGAUAAAGAUUUUCUGAAAAUUAAUCUUGAAAAAAUGGAGAAUUCCAUAUUCCCAAGUUAUUUGAUUUUUAUCUUGAGUUACUUGUUUACACAAGGGUAACAUUAACUCAAGAUUUGAAUUUCCAUCUUUUGAAAAGGAUUGCAAAGUAUAUGGAAUGACAAUUGAUUGAAAAGAAAAUUUAAUAAUGGAAGAAUGCACAAUAAUUUGAAAAGAAGUAAAUAAUGAGAAAUCUUCCCUUUUAGGAGGUUUCAUGAUUUUUGGAAGAGUUAAAUUUGUCAUCAAUAGCAAUUCAACUUUUUCUCUAUUGUCCUCUUCUUUCUUGUUUUCUACUUCUCUUCUCUUUUCCUCUUUGCUUCUUUCUCUUUCUCGUCUCUCUUCUUCCUUUCUCUCUUCUUCUUUCUUUCUUCUCUUUUUCUCUUCUCUCUUCUUCUCUUCUCUCUCUUUCUUCUCUCUAUCUUUCUCCUCUUUUUCUCUUCUUUGCUCCUCCUUUUUUCUCUCAACCUUCAACUCUAGUCUUUUAACCUUCAACUCCUUAAGUCUAAUUUCAAAUUCUAAUUCUCUAAGAAGGAAACCAUUGUCAUUUAAGCUUUGAAAAAAUGUUUUUCCAUCUUCAAUGUAAGUUCUUAGUAAUUGUAGGUUUCUCUUAAUAGUUGAAGGCACAAACUCUUUCCCCAAUAGAUGCCACCCAAAAAAAAUUGUUCAAAUACUCAAAAAUUACAAGUCCAACAAAUAAAAUAAACCUAAAACUAAUAUUUACAACAAAAUAAAUUGUCCCAGCAACAUCACGUGUUAUCCUUUUUGUUGGUGUCUCCAGUACACCGGAUCCUCAGCUUUCUUUUAUCCACUAGCUUGGUAUGUCCACUGUAUGGUGCCUCAAUCUCCACCAUCCCUUUCUCCUUUAGCUCUUUUAAUACCUACUCCUUCCUCUUAUAUUUCACUUUAAGUCAUACCAAUCACAAAUGGGAGACUUUCUACCUAUCCUAACAUGAUAUUGUCUUUCAUCCC
rnacentral:lncRNA from 1 species